CGUAUAAAAUUCUAGAUAGAAAACAGAUAAUGACAUUACCUAUCUAUUAGUCUUGACCAAAUUACGUGCCAGCAGUCGCGGCAACACGCAGAAGACAAGUGUUAUUCAUCUUUAAUAGGUAUAAAGGGUACCUAGACGGGAAAUCAAGCCAUAGUAGGAACUAAUUUUCUAGAGUUUUAUGGAAGAAACGAAUUUUUGGAAGAGAGAUAAAAUGCGAUGAAACCAAAGAGACGGUUCACGGCGUAGGCAACUUUCUAUGUAAAAACUGACGUUGAAGGACGAAGGCUUGGGUAGCAAACAGGAUUAGAUACCCUAAUAGUCCUUGCAGAGAAUGAUGAGUGCCAUAGACUAUGUGCAAUUUGGCACGCAGUCUAUAAAUGAAAGUGUAAGCAUUCCACCUCAAGAGUAAUGCGGCAACGUAGGAACUGAAAUCAUUAGACCGUUUCUGAAACCAGUAGUGAAGUAUGUUGUUUAAUUCGAUGAUCCACGAAAAACCUUACCACAACUUGAAUAAUACAGGUGCUGCACGGCUGUCUUUAGUUAAUGUCGUGAGACGCAGAUUAGCUUCUAUGAAUUAACGUAAACCCUUGCUUUAUUUAUAAAGUAGUUCUCUGAUACGUCGGAUAAGAUAAAAGGGAUCAAGGCAAGUACUCGCGGCCC
rnacentral:rRNA from 1 species